rnacentral:siRNA from 1 species
CUUCUGGCUGGAGAUGCGCUCCU